rnacentral:rRNA from 1 species
UGCGUAGGCGGCGGGGCAAGUCUGAUGUGAAAUCCCGGGGCUCAACCCCGGAACUGCAUUGGAUACUGCCUUGCUAGAGUACUGGAGAGGGAACUGGAAUUUACGGUGUAGCAGUGAAAUGCGUAGAGAUCGUAAGGAAGGCCAGUGGCGAAGGCGAGUUCCUGGACAGUAACUGACGCUGAGGCACGAAGGCCAGGGAGCAAACG